GUGCUAGCUGUGGCAGCACAUAUUUGAAAUCUGGAAUGGUACAAAGAAGAUUAGCAUGGCUCCCGCGCAAGGAUGACUUUUCCACAUUUUG
ensembl:snRNA U6 U6 spliceosomal RNA